UUAUGACCUCAUGUCGUACUAAGAUUUUAACAAAGUACUCUAAAAUGCAAGAACUAUUCCUAAUUAAGACAGAUUAAUAUGUGCAUGCAAUGUGGAUGACUAAUACAAUCAAAAUGUUAAUAGCAAUGACUGGAAAUAGAAAUGAUUAACCAAUUUUAAUAUGGAGAUGCAAUGAAAUGUGUCUCGCUUAUUCAGAAUGCAAAAUAACAAUUUUAUAACUGUUUGAUAAAAGUUCUUUUAAGAACUAAAAAUGAGAAUUGUGGAGAAUCAAUGCAUGAAAUCAUGUCUACUAUAUCCUAAUAAUGCAAGCUCAAUGCAAUAUGAGUUGGUGCUAAGAAUGCCUAAUUAACGCAUAAACUGAACAGAACUUAAAAUCCCCAAUUGGGUAAAAUGCUAGAACUAAACUAAAUUGGAAAUUAAGGAUUUUGAUGUGCAGAAACACAAGUUAAAAUCAGAAGAUGGAUGAAACCUAUUAACAAGUCCAGUGUAGUUAGAAUCCUAAGAAUAGUACUAUUGGAAUCGCGAAGCCAUACACAUAUAGUUUGAUGAAUAGUUUUUUAACCUGAUUCGGAAGAGGAAUCCCAAAUCGGAUGUCGUGUGAUUCGUUUUAUACAAUUCGUGAUGAAGGAACAAACAAUGACAAAAUCAUAAAGAAACAGAUAGGAAAAGAAACUCAAAGAAGAUUAAAUUUCAGUGGAAAAGAUAAACAGCUGAGAAAAUGAAAAAUGAAUAAAAUGAAAAUCACAUACAAAUUGGGAAGGUAUGAGUACUGAGAAGGAGAAGAUGGGAGAAGAUGGGAGAAGAU
rnacentral:sRNA from 1 species